rnacentral:rRNA from 1 species
UACAGAGGUGGGCAAGCGUUGUUCGGAAUUACUGGGCGUAAAGGGCGCGUAGGCGGUCUUCUAAGUCUUGUGUGAAAUCCCUCGGACUCAACGUGAGGAACUAGCGACGGGAUACUGGAAGACUUGAGUUCGGGGAGAGGGAAGCGGAAUUCCGGGUGUAGCGGUGAAAUGCGUAGAUAUCCGGAGGAACACCGGUGGCGAAGGCGGCUCCUG